rnacentral:rRNA from 1 species
GACGAACGCUGGCGGCGUGCCUAAUACAUGCAAGUCGAGCGGACGAAUCGAAAGCUUGCUUUUGAUUCGUUAGCGGCGGACGGGUGAGUAACACGUGGUCAACCUGCCCUGUAGACGGGGAUAACACCGAGAAAUCGGUGCUAAUACCGGAUAACACGAAAUGUCGCAUGACGUUUCGUUGAAAGACGGCGCAAGCUGCCGCUACAGGGUGGGCCCGCGGCGCAUUAGCUAGUUGGUGAGGUAACGGCUCACCAAGGCGACGAUACGUAGCCGACCUGAGAGGGUGAUCGGCCACACUGGGACUGAGCCACGGCCCAGACUCCUACGGGAGGCAGCAGUAGGGAAUCUUCCGCAAUGGACGAGAGUCUGACGGAGCAACGCCGCGUGAGCGAAGAAGGCCUUCGGGUCGUAAAGCUCUGUUGUUAGGGAAGAACAAGUAACGCAGUAACUGGCGUUACCGUGACGGUACCUAACGAGAAAGCCACGGCUAACUACGUG